rnacentral:rRNA from 1 species
GUGAGGAAUCUUGGACAAUGGGGGCAACCCUGAUCCAGCGACGCCGCGUGAAGGAUGAAGGUCUUCGGAUUGUAAACUUCUUUUGUUGGGGAAUAAAAAAUCUGUGGAAACACGGAGAUUGAAGGUACCCGAUGAAUAAGCCACGGCUAACUUCGUGCCAGCAGCCGCGGUAAUACGAAGGUGGCAAGCGUUACUCGGAAUUACUAGGCGUAAAGGGCAGGUAGGUGGUCUGAUAAGUCUGUUGUGUAAGCUCCCGGCUUAACUGGGAGAGGUCAACAGAAACUGUCAGGCUUGAGUAUAGGAGAGGGUACUGGAAUUCCCGGUGUAGCGGUGAAAUGCGCAGAGAUCGGGAGGAACACCAAUGGCGAAAGCAGGUACCUGGACUAUUACUGACACUCAGCUGCGAAAGCUAGGGGAGCAAACAGGAUUAGAAACCCCAGUAGUCC